GACAGUGUUCUCUACCCAUUCAUUGAUCCUUUCAGCAAAUACAUGUGGCCUUAGCGUCCUGAAUUCUGACACUGGCCUAUGCAGUUCCCUAGAGUGGGUGCUGUGAAUAGAAGCAUCAGAGCCAUCAGAGGUUUCUGAUUUCUUGGCCUCACCUUCAGAACAGCUGAACAUCAGCUCUAGGAAGUGGGACCAAGCAACGUGUAUCUAUCUUCCCUGGCUUCCUGGGUGAUGCUUAUUCCCCGAGAUUGGCGACUCUGCCCCAGUGGAACAAGCAUGAGCAGGGCACAAGCACUCCUUGUCUCUGAGGAACUUCAAUUGCAUACUUCUUGCAACUUUGUGAUGAAAAAGCAGAAAACCAGCUGGUAAAGAAAAAAUGUGUAGAGCCCCAGCUCAGUCAUCACAGCACAGCUCAGCAGGGAAAUUGGAACAAAAUAGAAUAUGUACUUUUAAACUUCACAUAAAGAAAAAUCCACCAGCACAGAGGAGGAGGCUCCUGAGUCAAUAUGCCACUGCUCCCAGCACAGAGGAGGAGUCUUCUGGGUUGAUGUGCCACUGCACCCAGUGCAGAGGAGGAGGCUUUUGGGUCAAUGUACCACCACUCCCAGCACAGAAGAGGAAGCUUCCUGGCUGCCACACCACUGUUCCCAGCACUGAGGAUGAGGCUUCAAGGCAUCCAUAACACCACUCUCAGCACAGAGGAGCAGCCUUCCAGGCUGCCAUAGCACUGCUCCCAGCACAGAGGAGGUGAGCCUCGCAGGUGCCAUCAGCAACCAACCCAAACCCCAUCGAAAUGAGAAGACACAUAAACAAGCCUGAAAACAAGACUUCCAUAUCACCUAGAGCAACCCAAAAAAGCAACUAAGUGGAGCACUCUGAUACUCAACCACCUGGAGGCCCUGAACUGGCAAAAAAAAGAGGAUCUUGAAAAGGAAAUUAGAAAUACUUUCUCAGAUAACAGCAGAAAUUGUGCUCCUUGUGCAAGACAUGAUUAAUAAAUCAAGAGAGGAGCUGAGGAACAUGAUGGAAUUCCAACAUAGGAAACAAAUGAAAUCCAUAAAACAG
rnacentral:lncRNA from 1 species